ACGGAAGGCAGCAGUGGGGAAUAUUGGGCAAUGGGCGCAAGCCUGACCCAGCAACGCCGCGUGAAGGAAGAAGGCUUUCGGGUUGUAAACUUCUUUUGUCAGGGACGAGACGAAGACGGUACCUGAUGAAUAAGCCACGGCUAACUACGUGCCAGCAGCCGCGGUAAUACGUAGGUGGCAAGCGUUGUCCGGAUUUACUGGGUGUAAAGGGCGUGUAGCCGGGUCGGCAAGUCAGAUGUGAAAUCCACGGGCUUAACUCGUGAACUGCAUUUGAAUCUGUUGAUCUUGAGUAUCGGAGAGGCAAUCGGAAUUCCCUGUGUAGCGGUGAAAUGCGUAGAUAUAAGGAGGAACACCAGUGGCGAAGGCGGAUUGCUGGACGACAACUGACGGUGAGGCGCGAAAGCGUGGGGAGCAAACA
rnacentral:rRNA from 1 species